UGGGGGAUCGUCUAAUGGCAAGACACACGGCUCUGGACCGUGAAAUCGGGGUUCGACUCCCUGUCCCCCAG
rnacentral:tRNA from 1 species